rnacentral:rRNA from 1 species
CAAUAGCGUAUAUUAAAGUUGUUGCAGUUAAAAAGUUCGUAGUUGAACUUUGGGCCUGGCAGGCCGGUCCGCUUUUUGGCGAGUACUGACCCUGCCGGGCCUUUCCUUCUGGCUAACCUCCCCUCUGGAGAGGCGAACCAGGACUUUUACUUUGAAAAAAUUAGAGUGUUCAAAGCAGGCCUUUGCUCGAAUAUAUUAGCAUGGAAUAAUAGAAUAGGACGUUUGGUUCUAUUUUGUUGGUUUCUAGGACCAUCGUAAUGAUUAAUAGGGACGGUCGGGGGCAUCAGUAUUCAGUUGUCAGAGGUGAAAUUCUUGGAUUUACUGAAGACUAACUACUGCGAAAGCAUUUGCCAAGGACGUUUUCAUUAA